CACUCCGCGGGGUGUGGAGGCGGGGAGGGAGGAGGAGUGAAGGUUGUUUACAAAUUUUACGUACAUACUCAGCACCAUUCGUAAAGUUCUGGAAUUGGUGUUUACAACCUUCGGAUCUAGGGGUGUUCUGAUAACCUGGGUUCCAGUGCCUGGUUUAUGCCCACCCCAGCCAUAACCUUCAGCAGAAUGUUAGGAUUCCUGCGCUUUGGCCCUAGGUCUUGGGGCGGCGAUGACUCACGGCAGCACCCCCUUACCCCCCCGCGCGUCAAACUGCCGUCUCCGCCCACCCCCAAACAAUCUCAACAACGAGCCGAGCCGCAGCCCCUGGCGCUUUGCUGGGGGCUGGAGGGGCUCAUCGUUGUGCUCGUAUCCCAGCAGGCUAAAACCUUCCCAGUCCUACUCUUCAAGCUUGCCUCGUUCCCCCACCGGACCCUUCCGUUGAGCAGUGGAGACAGAUGCGACAUCCCCAACCGGGGACGCAGGAUCCACCAACGACAGCGCUCGGCAGGGGCAGCCAAGUGGCCCGGGCCAUCCAUGGCAUGGAAACCGUUGCCCUGCUAUACGACAGUGAACAAGAAACUGUUUCUGCUCUUGAGGAAUUCAUGUUUGGUGAAACACUUGAAGACAAUGGCCACAGAGGAAAUAUGAAUGCUUGGUUUGCAGGCUUUAAAGCCUGAGAGUCUGCUAAAAAAGUAGAAUCCAGAGAAGUAAAGCUGCUGUGUAAACGUGAGAAAAUCUACAGAGUAGGAGAGUUUCCUGAGGUUUCUGUCAUCACAGCCACGUGAGCCAAUCGUUAGCUCCAUUUGACAGACUCGGGGAACUGAGGCCAUACAACCAGCAGGGAGCGGACCUGAGGUGGGCACCCAUGUGCACUUGCUUGUAAAUGUGCACUCUUGGCGUCGUUCCGGGCUGAGGCAGGAGGGGAACCAGCAAAUGCACAAGGGAGCCCUUGGAACACACACAUCCCUGCUGAUGACCCUCUCCUUCUCACUUCAGUUUCCCAAACAUUUCCUGUGAUUAAGGAAGGGAAUUAAUUAUUGAUGAGGCAGCAGGCCAGCACAGAUAGAAAUCCCACUCGGACUGGACACGUUGCCCCUGUGGAGAGCUGGGAUUACCGUGGAGGAGAAUCGUUUUGCUCUUCCUUCAAGAAAAGGCCUGAACAAUUGGUCAGCGCCCAGCAGCCUGGUCUUUGGGCCCAAAUGGGCAUGGCUCUAAUUAAAGGCUGUUACUCAGGCCACCUGGUCUGUUCUCUCCCCGUGAAGUGCAUUGCGCCAAAAGGUAUAUCACGUCAAGGUAGAAAGUGGAAAUCUAACAAAACGUUUCAUCGCUGAAUAUUGGGAUGUGCCACAGUGCAAAGAAAGAUCACUCAUUCCAGCCAGUGGAAUGCAUUUAAUAUUGUCCAAUCCUAAGAAGGACUGACUGCAAGAUCCAAGCUGAAUGGUAUCCAGACAUCUUAGCAUGGCCCACAAGGUCUUCCAUGAUGUGCCUUCGCUGAUCUCGGCUUCCCCACGAGGUCAUGAUCAUCCCGCCCCAAGGCCUGUGCCAUUCCCUGGGCUGGACUACCUUCUCCACCGAUCUCAGGGAUGGCUCCCAUUGGUUCCAGUUUCAGCUGAAAAUGUCACCUUCUCAGAGACCUCUUCCUCUGUCCCAGGGCACAGCCUUUCACAUGACCCUGUCAUUUCUCGUCUUUGUAACAUCGAGUCUGUGUGAAUACCUCUGCUUUGAUUUCCGCUGCCGUCUGUCUCCAUCACUAAAAUGAAACUCCCUGAAAGUAGGAAUGGCAGCAUCACUGAUAUCGUCUGUGUGGAUGGUGCCCCUGGAGCUGGGCAGUACACAGCCUGUACAGCUGCAUCCUGGGGCCCCGAUUCAACAAUAUGUACUGGGCUCCACGCCCAGCAUGGAGCCAAGCGCAGGGCUUGAACUCAUGACCCUGAGAUCAACAACCGAGCUGAGAUCAAGAGUUGGAUGCUCAACCAACUGAGCCAUCCGGAAACCAAGACAAGAAAAAUGAAGUGUACCUGACACAGGGAAUGAGGGGAGUCAUUUGGAUGACAGAGUACCAGCUCCCCAUAAAAUGCUUGGAGUGAGAGAGGCAGUGGGACAGAAGGCGCCAGGCACAGUGCUCAUAUCUGACUUCACGCUGGAAUUUUUAUAGCAUGAAUAUUUGAUGACAGCCCUCUCCAAGCACAAGCUCCUUCCUCUCCUUCUAGAAGGUAAUAGCAGUCAAGUCAACCUUUAAAUUGUUGUGACCAUCACACUGAAAUUUCAACUGCAUUUUGGAUUUACAUUAUCAGUAACAAUUGGGAAAAUUGUUGUAUAUCUUAAAGUAACCACACAUAUUGUUGUUAUGCCUUGAAAUAGUACAUGUAUUUCCUCAAAAAAUCUUUUUCCUGGGAAGUCGUAUCUUCUGCCACCAGCAAUGUUUCAACGUGGCAGUUGUCAUGGUAAUGUCUAAUUAUUAUUACCAGUAAACUAUUCCAGAUCUAGAUUUGGGUACAGGCAAGAUAUACUCCAGGGGGAAAAAAAUGAUGGCAAAAACUCUUAACCACUAUUUCCUUUGUUAAAAAAUUGCAUUCGGGUCACUUAAUUCUACCCAUGACAUCAAGGAUGCCUAUUUUUAUGAAAAGCUGGUUUUAUACAGCAGGAAAAUUGGCCCUUUCGUUAUGAUGCCUAAUGAUUCAUGGCUGUUAGGGAACUCUUUCACAGAACAAAGCAGAUUGGAUUUGGUGGUGGACUUUGCAUUCCACAGCAUCUCUUAGGGUCUCUAUGGGGUCAGGGAUUUAAGUCUUAGAAAUUGCGCUUGGGCUCCAAGUUGUCCAGUUUCAUUUUCUGGAGUUUCUGAGGGCAAUUGUAAAACUGGUAAAGAGGCAACAAUGUGAGUUGAUGCAAAACACUGCUGCCCAUGAAAAGACCCAGAGGCACCAAGGGUCUCAGUUCUUAGCAGUGAGACAGAGAUGCUCACUAAGAAGGGAAUGAAGCAUGGACAAUAGAAAAACGUGGCUGUAACAGGGGUGAUCAAAAUCAUGUAAAAUGAGUUAAACCUUUAGAAAUUAGAUAGGCACACUCUCUAGGUGGGAUAGCCAAGGUUUUUCUGGUCCCAGAAGCAUCUCACUGAGUUGCUGGAAGAGAAUUCUUUCCUAUAUAUACUUGUUCUUUUCAUCUGGGUUCCUGAUUCUUUCGUUUAGAUCUGUGCAUAAGAGCCAGGUUUUGGGAAUCGUGGGGCACAUCAUGUUCGAACAAACUUCUGAGCACUUAGUAUAUCUAGAGUGAUAAAUACCCUAUUUCCUGAGUUCUACCAAGUCCAUCUGUCAAGUUAAUGCCAGGAUGCAGGAAGAACACUGUAUGGAUAUAAUAAGUUAUAUCCCAGUUCAGAAAUUUUAAAAUAUGAGAAGAAAAAGAGAGUUUAUCUUAGAAUAGGGUGCUGUGGGAUAUUCAAGAAUGCAGUUAUAUUUAAGAAUAUGGCUUUAAAUCAGACUGACCUAGGUGUAAAUCCUGGCUCUGCCAUGGAUGAGUGAACUCGAACAAGUUAUUUAACCUCCCUAUGCUUCAGAUUUCUCAACUUUAAAUCGGGAUGAUGGGCAGUAUUUCAUCAUUUUUUGAAGAGCCUGAAAAUAUUGUUAGUAAAACAUCAAUAGCACCAUCAUCAUUGUCAUGCUCCCAAGGUCUGGGCUAGAGAUUCAAAAUGUGAUGGUUGUCAACAUACUGGCACCAAGUGAGGGAGUAAGCAUAGGGAGGAAGAAUUUAGCACUUGCUAUCUGGGUUUCAAUCGCCGCUCUGCAACUUCCUAACUGCAUGACCUUGGGCUUACUUGACCUCUUAGGGCUUUAAUUUUCUCGUUGGUAAAUACGAACCACCAUAGCACCGAUCUCUAAGAGUUCAUGGAAGGUUUAAACGAAUGACUAUACAUAACGUGACCAGCCCAAUGCCUGGUACGUGGUAAUCAAUAAUUAUUGGCAAUUUUUCUUUUAGUAUUAUACUCUAUUUACUUUAAAUAUCUUUUCUACUGUGGUAAAAUAUGCCAUAACAAAGUUUGCUGUUUUAACCACUCUUCUCCUUUGCGUGUCUACAGGUUUGUCUUCUCUAAGUGUCUCGGUGAGUGAAUUCGUAUAGCAUUUGGCCUCUUCUGACGGGCUCUUUUCACCUAAUGUAACGUCUUUGAGGUUGUUCCAAGUUGUCACACCUUUCAGAACUGCCUUUCUUUUUAAGGCUGAAUAAUAUUCCAUUGUGUGUAUAUAUCACAUUUUGUUUAUCCGUUCAUGUGUUGACGGACAUCUGGGUUGCUUCCCUCUUUUGGCUACUGUGAAUAGUGCUUCUGUGAACACUGGUGUAUACAAUGCUUAUUAAAACACAGCAUCAGGGAAUUCAUGCCAGCAGCAGCUGGAUAAGGAGAAAAAACUCAGGAGCUCCAACAUUUAAAGGACAGGCAAAGGAAGACUUACUUCUUUGGGAAAGUUCUUUGAAGGGUUCCAGGCAGAGGCAGGGUGUGGUGUCAUUCACGAAGUGUUCGCAAAACAUGUCACGAGUUUGAUUUAGGAUAGUGGCCUUGCACACGGGCAAGAGCGAACAAACAGAUAUACUGAGGAAAUACCACGAAAAGGGAUCAUACUAGCAAGAAGAGCCAUAAUCGAAACCUCACAGCCUCUUCAAGAAGGCUGUGCUGUCCUCAAGUGCUUACAACGUGCUUGGCUCUGCUAAGUCCGUUACAUCACAGCUUUAAUCCUCUCUGCUACCCCAAAGUAGACCAUCCCAUCUAGGGGGUGAGGAAAUCCACUAUUGUGUAACUGCUACCGUCUCAGUGAGCUAGUGCUCAAACUAGCACUUUGCCCUGCUCGGCCUGCUGCGAAACCCUGGGUUUAAAUGCCAUGUGCUCUGCGCCCAUCCUGAACAAGGCAAGAACUCAUUUCACAUUCAGCAAGGACUCUCCUGAAUCCUUGUGUCUGCCUGGUCUUUUGGCACUGUCUUAAAGACAUUUCCAGAAUCAAAGGAGGACCUUUAAGUGUCUAAUGGAUUUGACACAUGUAUAUUCUUAUUUUUUUGGCUUGCCAAAGAGACCCAAACAACAUCUGAGCCUGUGAUAUUCCUGAUCCUUUCUUCACUAAAUUUUCAAGUUAUGGUCUAUGGACCACAGCAUGUUAAAGCCAUACAAAGAACAGAGCAGAGGCCAGGAAUUUCCCUUGAUCAAAACCCCAUUCUAUUUUAGGUUCUAUAAAAAAGGCAGCUCAAGUAAGAAUGACACUUCCAGUUAUCUACUGCUGCUACCCAAAAACGUUAAUUUUUGUGGCGCAAUCAUGGCGUACCAUGCAAUUUACCACUUCCCAGGCAGUCCCUAAUCUUCCAUUUUCCUCCCAGGUAAGUUCACUUACGCCCAAUGGAAGAGACAUGGGCAGCCCACACCCUGAAUAUUUCCUCCUAGAAAUACUUGACAUGUGACAGAUUUGUUGGUGACUCCUCAGUAAUUAAAGUGUCAUAACAAGUUGAAAAGCCAUUUCUAGAGAUUCAACAGGCAAAAAUAAUUUCCUUUCUAUAAAAUGGUUAUGUUGCCAGCCAUAACUCUUAAACAGGACUGAAGUGAUAAUCAAACACAGUGAUAUAUGUAAAUUUGUUUUGCACACUAUAAAGGACCUUAUGUAUGUAAGGGAUUAUUAUUUUUAUUAUUACCAAUUGACCUGUUUUACAUUUGAUGUUACAAACUUGAAAGUCCUUUGCAUCAGAAAGCUAUUGACGUAUCAUGCGAAAAUCUAAAUUAAAUUCAAUCUUUAGCUUUUUCUCUAAGCAAGCUUAAAAACCUGGAAAAGUGGCGCAUGUGAUUCUGGGUUUAAAGGGGUGAUACGGACCCAGGUUCCUUAUCCUCAGCAUUGUCACUAUGGACAUUUUGGUCCAGAUCACACAUUGUUGUGAGGGCUGUCUUCUGCAUUGCUGGAUAUUUUGAAGUAUCCCUGGCCUCCACAUCUACCUCUGACCCAUGACAAUCAAAAAGUGUCUACACAUUGCAAAUGUGCCCCAGGAGGCAAAACUGCCCCAGACUGAGAACCACUCCUAUAGACAAUGGAGCUGGAAAGGCUGCUAUAACAGCAUGGACGAUGGAAAGUUCUAUAUAAUUGUAGAUUUUUCAGUGUUGUUUCUGCUUUAUGGGGGAAGCCCUUUUUAAUCCUUCUCCUUCACAAAUCUGCGAAGUUGAACUGAAAGUUCUGUGGUGUGGCACUGAAUUAUUGGCUGACUGUUGAGGCUUCUAGGGGAUUAGACUUACUUAGCUAAAUUAGCACUUGGAUUCUAUCAACAUGGAGACCCAGAAAUGAACAAAAGUGAAAGCAAAUGAGAUGUGUGCAAGUGAGUGGGGCAGGGGCAGGGGCAGGGGCAGA